GAUGAACGCUGGCGGCGUGCCUAAUACAUGCAAGUCGAGCGGACGGACGCUAAGCUUGUUUCUUUGACGUUUGCGGCGGACGGGUGUGUAACACGUGUAUCACCUACUUAUCUUUCUGGGAACAUUUCGGGAAUCCGGAGCUUAUACCGGAUGAUAUCUUGAACCGCAUUGUUCAAAGGAAAAAGUCGGCCUUGCGGGCUCUAAUAGCUGCUUCCGCGCUGCAUUGGCUAGUUGGUAAGGUAACGGCCUAUCAAGGCGACGAUGCGUAGCCGACGGGAGAGAGUGAUAGGCGACAGUGGAACGGGGACGCGGUCCAGACUACUACGGGAGGCAGCAGUAGGGUAUGUGAGGCAGUGGGCGGAAGCAUGGCGGAGCGGCGCCGCGUGAGUGAUGAAGGUGUUCGGAUCGUAAAGCUCUGUUAUUGGGGAAGAACAGAUGUGGAAGUAGCUGUGGCCAUCGUGACGGUAACUAAUCAAGAAGCACCGGCUAACUACGUG
rnacentral:rRNA from 1 species